GAGAAUAGUAUGGUCUGGAACCUUCCCAGCACCAGCCAACAAACGGCUGCACACCCCUUUCCUCCCAGAAGUAGAAGGGGAAAGGACCAGUUAGGCAUUCUAGAAAAAGGCCUACAGCAUCUAUGCCCUUUUACUCAGCAAAACUCCUAUUAGGCCUAUACUCCAAGGAGAUCAGGGAAAGAGGAAAAGGACCCACAUAUACAAAAAUAUUUACAGAAGCUCUUUGUGGUGGCAAAACACUGGAAGCUAAAGACAUGCCCAUCAAUUAGGGAAUGACUGAACAAACUAUGGCACAUGAAUGUAGUGGAAUACCAUUGUAUAGGGUGAAAGGGUUGGUUUCAGAGAAAAUUAGAAAGACUUACAUGAAUUGUUGUAGGUGGAAGUGAGCAGAGCCAGAACAGUUUCUCCAAUAACAAUAUUGUAAAGACAAACAACUUUGAAAUAAUUAAGAACUCUGAUCAACCACAGUUCUAGAGGACUGAUAACUCAUUCUGCCCACUUCUUGACAGAGAUGAUAAACAACUCACUUCUGAGUGAGAAAUAGUUUUUGAACGUAUCCAAUGUGGGAAUUUGUUUUGCUUGACUAUGCAUGUUUGCUGCAUUUUCCUAAUGAGGCAGGAGAAGUAGAAGAGAGAGAAAAUAGUUUUUUGUUCUAUGAAAAAAAAAAUUAAAAAAGAAAAUAACGGUCAGCUCAGGGCUGUAGAUUUGGCCUAACUGGAUAAUUCCAUUUCCUUUAGGAGUGAUCCAGAGGUGAUCUUUCCACUGUACCAUCCUACCUCCCAUAUGUGGGAAGGAAGAGGCACAAGGGAUGGGUAGGACUCAGAUAAGCAAGGGAAAGGAGGGAUUCCGUCUCCAGAGAACCCUGGCCCUCAUCAUCUCUCACCCGGACUUUUCAAGAGCCUCCUCCUUGGUCUCUCCCUGCCUCAAGUUUCUGCUCCAGCCAUUCUCAACAAUCUGCUAAGUGAUUUUCCCAAAGUGCUGGUCUGAUCAGUCCGUCCUUCCAUACAUUAAACUCUGGUGACUACGCAUUGCCUCUAGGAUCAUAUAAAUGUCCUCCCUUUGGCCUUUAAAGCCUGGCCCCACCUGCCUUUGCAGGCCUGUUAUGUAUUCAUCUCCUUGCCAUGCUUAGCCAAACCAGUGCCAUUCUUCAAGCAUAUACUCCAUCUCUAAUCUCUUUGCCUUUUCAAUGGCUGUUCCCUGUGUCUGGAAGGCAUUCUUGCCUCACCCAGUCUCUGAGAACCCUUUAAGUUUCAAAAACUUCCAAAACUCAGCACAAGCGUCAUCUCCACAAAGCCCUUCCUGAUUUCCCUAGCUUCUAGUGACCUCUCUCUUCCACCCCCCAAUUACCUUAUAUUUAUUUCACAUUUAUUCUGGAUAUAUACACACACACACAUAUAUACAUACAUAUAUAUGUGUAUAUACAUGCAUACAUACACACACACAUAUACACACUUAAAUGUUAAUGUAUACAUAUGAUCUCUUGAUGGAUAGAGUGAAAACAAACUAUUUUAAACGUGUCUCUGUGCUUCACACAGUGCCUGGGCCAGAGCAGGUACUUAAUCAAUGUGACUGAAUAAGAAGCAGCCCCACACAGUGGGUAUCACACUAACCUUGGAGCCUGGAAGACCUGAGUUCAGGUUCUCCCCUAACACAUACUGUGAACAUGAACAAGUCCUUCAACCUCUCAGUGUUCCUGACAGCUCUCUAAGAUUAUAAAUUACAACGGGUUGGCAAAUCUUCACUGAUGGAGAUGCAUGUCCAGUACGUGGACACUAUCUACCCUGGGAACAAGUGAAAUCACAGGUCUGGACUCCCUUCCCCCAAAUAAUGAUGUCAAUGGUCAGCACCUUCACAAACAGAGUGCCGGCACUCCAGCUCCAAUGUCCCUGACUUUACACCGGUGAUUCCCCUGUGCCCGGUAGGUAGGUUUUGAUUAGCCUUGGGGCAAUCUGGGUAUUACUCUAAAUUAUUAUUAUUUUUAAGGUGAUGUAAACACUGUGCUUGUUUUGUAUUUUCUUGGUUACCUCUUGGGAGGGGAAAGGUAGUGAGCUAAGUGAUUUCAAAGAAAUGUGGACCUACAACUCACAGUUUCAUCAGAGGGAUUCCCACUUGGGAGUUUUGUGAGCCUAGGGUGAUCAAGGAGACCAAUAAAAUCCAUCUAGCUGAGCAUAUUCCAGAAUUUACUUUGGAGAGUCCUAGAUGGGAGAUACCAGGGUCAGGAGGGUUUUAGAUACUCUAACCUAGAGAGAAUCAGGCCCAUCCACACUGGGCCGGAGGGACAAAAGCCAGAUGGAAUACUGAGUCACUUAGGACUGGGCAAUCCCCACAUCCCCUUUUUUAAAUUUCUCAAAUUCCUUUGCCCUACUGAAUGGGCAUAUUCUCAUUAACUUUGUGAAUAAACUUGAGAAAA